CGUCAAAUCAUCAUGGCUCUUACACCUAGGGCUACACACACGCUACAAUGGAUAGUACAGACGGUCGCAAAGUCGCGAGAUGGAGCCAAUCCGACAAAGCUAUCCCCAAUUGGAAUUGUAGGCUGAAACUUGCCUGCAUGAACGUGGAGUUGCUAGUAACCGCAGGUCAGCAUACUGCGGUGAAUACGUUCCCGGGCCUU
rnacentral:rRNA from 1 species